rnacentral:rRNA from 1 species
UACGGAGGGUGCAAGCGUUAAUCGGAUUUAUUGGGCGUAAAGAGCACGUAGGCUGAUUGGAAAGUUAGAUGUGAAAUCCCGGGGCUCAACCUCGGACCCGCAUCUAAAACUCCCAGUCUAGAGGAUGGAAGGAGAAAAGGGAAUUCCACGUGUAGCGGUGAAAUGCGUAGAUAUGUGGAAGAACACCGGUGGCGAAGGCGCUUUUCUAUUUUAUUCCUGACGCUGAGGUGCGAAAGCAAGGGGAGCAAACAGG